GGGGCCGUAGCUCAGGUGGAAGAGCGCUGCCGUCGCAUGGCAGAGGUCAGGGGUUCAAGUCCCCUCGGCUCCA
rnacentral:tRNA from 1 species